rnacentral:rRNA from 1 species
CGAAAGCCUGACGGAGCAACGCCGCGUGAGGGAUGAAGGCCUUUGGGCUGUAAACCUCUUUUCUCAAGGAAGAAGAUCUGACGGUACUUGAGGAAUAAGCCACGGCUAAUUCCGUGCCAGCAGCCGCGGUAAUACGGGAGUGGCAAGCGUUAUCCGGAAUUAUUGGGCGUAAAGCGUCCGCAGGCGGCCGUCUAAGUCUGUUGUUAAAUCGUGGAGCUUAACUCCAUCACGGCAAUGGAAACUGUUCGGCUUGAGUGUGGUAGGGGCAGAGGGAAUUUCCGGUGUAGCGGUGAAAUGCGUAGAUAUCGGGAAGAACACCAGUGGCGAAAGCGCUCUGCUAGGCCAUUACUGACGCUCAUGGACGAAAGCCAGGGGAGCGAAAGGGAUUAGAUACCCCUGUUGUCCUGGCCGUAAACGAUGAACACUAGAUGUUGGGGGAAUCGACCCCCUCGGUGUCGUAGCUAACGCGUUAAGUGUUCCGCCUGGGGAGUACGCACGCAAGUGUGAAACUCAAAGGAAUUGACGGGGGCCCGCACAAGCGGUGGAGUAUGUGGUUUAAUUCGAUGCAACGCGAAGAACCUUACCAAGGCUUGACAUCCUGCGAAUCUCCAAGAAACUGGAGAGUGCCUUCGGGAGCGCAGUGACAGGUGGUGCAUGGCUGUCGUCAGCUCGUGUCGUGAGAUGUUGGGUUAAGUCCCGCAACGAGCGCAACCCACGUUUUUAGUUGCCAGCAUUCAGUUGGGCACUCUAGAAAGACUGCCGGUGACAAACCGGAGGAAGGUGUGGACGACGUCAAGUCAUCAUGCCCCUUACGCCUUGGGCUACACACGUACUACAAUGCUGCGGACAAAGAGUAGCGAUCUUGCAAAAGUUAGCUAAUCUCGUAAACCGUGGCUCAGUUCAGAUCGUAGGCUGCAACUCGCCUACGUGAAGUAGGAAUCGCUAGUAAUCGCAGGUCAGCAUACUGCGGUGAAUACGUUCCCGGGCCUUGUACACACCGCCCGUCACACCAUGGAAGUUGGCCAUGCCCGAAGUCGUUACUCUAACCUUUUGGAAGAGGGCGCCGAAGGCAGGGCUAAUGACUGGGGUGAAGUCGUAACAAGGUAGCCGUAGCGGAAGCUGCGGCUGGAUCACCUCCUAA